UGGACAGCUUACCAAAUUCGCAGAUUUUUUUUGUAUUUUAGAUUAUUUUUGAAAAUAUUCACGUUUCGAUCCCUAGGGGUUUUAAUUUUGUUUUCUGAUCCAGAGGGUACUUAUUGUUCAACCAUAAACAAACUAGGUUCAUAAGAUUUGUCUCGCAAAUUAAAAGCAAACUAUGUAAUUAAUUUUUUUUAUCUAUAUUUAAUAUUUUAUAUAUACGUCUAAAUAUUUGAUGUGAUAGGUAAUCUUAGAAAAAAAUUUAGGAACUAAAUAAGGCCUCAUAACGAAAAGGAAAAAGAGAGAGACCAAGAAAGAAGAGAAAAGAGAGAAAGGAGAAGGCCGUGUGGGCCUGUAUGUCCAUACCUUAGCAUCAAGAUCCAUCGGCCUAUUUAUUUGAGUUUAUUAGUCGAAUCUGCCAACUAUUUAAAAAUAUUUUUUUUUAUAAUAAAUUAGCCAACAAUACUUUCUGUCAUGGACAACUCAACAAUACUUUCUUCUAUGUCAUUGAGCCUCCCGUCGUGUCGACAACAUGCAAGCAGCCAUGCCUUAAGCGGGCUUUGGCGUCGUGGAUCACGGUACCGACCCCUUGGAUCUAAAAAUAAUUGAGGCACCCCGCCACCCAGGGAUCUAAACGUGAAUAUUUUUGAAAGGAACUAAAAUACAAAAAAAAAAACUGUAAAUUCGGUAAGCUGUCUGCGGUCUGCACCCGUAGUCCGUACCGUACAGCAACAUUCCAUUCCAACAGCAACAGAAUCCAUACCUGCUCCUUUACAGCGAUGCCACUGCCAUGUACAGACAAAAAAGAGUCAACACAUCCUGCAGCUGCAGGCGCGCAUCUGUAUUAUACCCAAGUCAACAUGCCGGCCCUGCCAUUUUUGUAUAUAUAUAGGACAACAGCAAGUGCAGGACGUCGCAA
rnacentral:lncRNA from 1 species